UACGUAGGUGGCAAGCGUUGUCCGGAUUUACUGGGCGUAAAGAGCGCGCAGGCGGUCGUGCAAGUCGCGUGUGAAAGCCCCCGGCUCAACUGGGGAGGGUCACGCGAUACUGCUCGACUCGAAGGCAGGAGAGGGAAGUGGAAUUCCCGGUGUAGUGGUGAAAUGCGUAGAUAUCUGGAGGAACACCGGUGGCGAAGGCGGCAUCCUGGACCAACACUGACACUGAGGAGCGAAAGCCAGGGGAGCAAACGGG
rnacentral:rRNA from 1 species